rnacentral:rRNA from 1 species
CAGCCGCCACGGUAAUACGGAGGGUGCAAGCGUUAUCCGGAUUUAUUGGGUUUAAAGGGUCCGUAGGCGGAUCUGUAAGUCAGUGGUGAAAUCUCACAGCUUAACUGUGAAACUGCCAUUGAUACUGCAGGUCUUGAGUAAAUUUGAAGUGGCUGGAAUAAGUAGUGUAGCGGUGAAAUGCAUAGAUAUUACUUAGAACACCAAUUGCGAAGGCAGGUCACUAAGAUUUAACUGACGCUGAUGGACGAAAGCGUGGGGAGCGAACAGGAUUAGAUACCCCAGUAGUCCCUGUCUCUUAUAC